rnacentral:lncRNA from 1 species
GAAAUAAACGAGGAGAAGUGAAGAGAGCCGGCCUCCAGUAAGUGUCUGUGUGUUGAUCUCCCAUGAUCCUCUCCUGCUCAGGAACGGACUCCUGUUCUCUGUGAGAACUGCAUUGAAAGAAUGAACUCGGAAGGACGUGAGGACACAGAACACAUCUUUGUGAGAAUUGAGAUGCGCUGUGAUCUUGCUGCUCAGCUGUCAGUUCAGUGCUGUCUAGUUAGGGAGCUCCCUAUGUAGACAGCUGAUCGGACGUUGGAAAAGAUCCAGAGAAAACAUGAUUUAUACGUUUUAUUCAGCAGGCGAUGAGCUGAUGGCCGUAGAUAAGUCCGCUUAUCCUGCGUCCUGCGACCUGCGUCCUGCGACCUGCGUCAUGCGUCAUGCGACCUGCGUCAUGCGACCUGCGUCAUGCGACCUGCGUCUUGCGUCCUGCGUCAUGCGACCUGAGACCUGCUACCUGCGUUAUGCGACCUGUGUCAUGCGUCAUUCGUCCUGCGACCUGCGUCCUGCGACCUGCGUCAUGCGACCUACGACCUGCGUCAUUCGUCCUGCGACCUGCGUCAUGCGACCUGCGUCAUGCGACCUGCGUCAUGCGACCUGCGUCAUGCGACCUACGACCUGCGUCAUUCGUCCUGCGACCUGCGUCAUGCGACCUGCGUCAUGCGACCUACGACCUGCGUCAUGCGACUUGCGUCCUGCGUCAUGCGACCUGCGUCAUGUGUCCUGCGUCCUGCGACCUGCGUCAUGCGACUUACUACCUGCGUCAUGCGACCUACGACCUGCGUCAUGCGACUUGCGUCCUGCGUCAUGCGACCUGCGUCAUGUGUCCUGCAUCCUGCGACCUGCGUCCUGCGACCUGCGUCAUGCGACCUACUACCUGCGUCAUGCGACCUACUACCUGCGUCAUGCGACCUGCGUCCUGCGUCAUGCGUCCUGCGACCUGCGUCCUGCGACCUGCGUCCUGCGACCUGCGUCAUGCGACCUACGUCCUGCGACCUGCGUCAUGCGACCUGCGUCAUGUGUCCUGCGUCCUGCGACCUGCGUCAUGCG